UCCUCCCCACUUCCUAUGCAAGGAUUUGGCAUAAGAGACCCUUUCGCCAGCGAGAUGAGCGGUAUGAUACCUACUUGCCAGGGAGCGAGGUUUGCCCUUUCCCUUCCAGAAGCCCUUCUCGCAGCUCCUGGACUCAGCUCUGUGUCUUCUUGUCCAUAGCGAAGAGCUAUAUGACUCGCUCUUUACCUCAGUUUCUGUCUUUCAAAGAUUUGAAUCUGCUUCCUCCCAGAGUCAUCCUGCAGUAAGUUAGAGAAGUGCAGUCAAAUAAGAAGUGCUAAGGCUGGCCCCACGUAUUAUCCGUGGGCUGCUCCUGCUUGUUCCCCCCUGCCUCGGGCGCGACCCACCUCGGGGUAUCAGCGGCUCCUCUCCCCUGGGGCCGAAGCAGCUCUUUGCCACCCCAGCCCGACAUCGCUCCCCCGUGGCAGCUUGCUCCCUUCUGCGACACGCUGGCUUCAGCACGACAGCGACAGGAAUCUCGGUCUCUGACAUACUUUGUGUCAAAGCUUCCGAAACUGGGCUUCUUGUCAAAAUUUUUCUGCUGCUAGCACGCACGGGAAUGAAAGACAGCACAGCUAACCUAAAGAAAGCAAUGAUGCGCAGCUGCUUUACUGCCUCGUACAGGCUGUUCUAUACAAGAGAGUUUGAAGACUUCAGAGAGCUCUGGGGGAUCUCUUCGACUCUUGACUUGUGCUGUGUGUUAACAUCUGGGACUCAUCACACUGUCCGGCAUUUCAACAAAGAUGAUGUCACCAGUGCCAAGUACUGACAAACAUGGCUACUGCAUAAAUCUAAAGAACUGAAACUCCAGACAAAUUAUGUUUAUGAUUAGAGACAAUUUGAGUUGUUUGCACUGUGAGUUUAAGUACAUUAAGCAUAGACUUUCUUUCCGGGGGGAAGAUACUGACUGAAAACUGUAAAAGUAGAAAUUCUUUUUUUCUCUAAGCGUUUGGAAGAGCUUUUGAUCUUCCAGUGUCUGUUACAACCUUGGGGAAGGUUAAGUUAACCCUUUGAACAAACAUUCCUACCAGCUUCCAAUUCACUUGAACAAAGUAACUUAAUCACCAGCUAAAUUGAGUUCAAACUGCUCUAGAGAACAUGAACUGACAUAGCUUAGCUCUGAUGACAAGGAAAUGAAAGAGAGUGAGUUUGUUGCUGACAUGUACCGAGGGGCCCAACUCUCAGUUCCUAUUUUGGAGGCACCAGAGAGUGUGAUUUUGCUGCACACAAAAGAAGUGGUGCAUGGUAUGCCAAGGUGCAAGUCG
rnacentral:lncRNA from 1 species